rnacentral:rRNA from 1 species
UACGUAGGGUGCAAGCGUUAAUCGGAAUUACUGGGCGUAAAGCGUGCGCAGGCGGUGAUGUAAGACAGGUGUGAAAUCCCCAGGCUUAACCUGGGAACUGCAUUUGUGACUGCAUCGCUGGAGUGCGGCAGAGGGGGAUGGAAUUCCGCGUGUAGCAGUGAAAUGCGUAGAUAUGCGGAGGAACACCGAUGGCGAAGGCAAUCCCCUGGGCCUGCACUGACGCUCAUGCACGAAAGCGUGGGGAGCAAACAGG